UACAUAUGUGGCAAGCGUUGUUCGGAUUUACUGGGCAUAAAGGGUUCGUAGGCGGUCUUAUAAGUCGGGUGUGAAAUCCCUCAGCUUACCUGAGGAAGUGCAUUCGAUACUGUAAGACUGGAGUCUUUGAGAGGGAAGUGGAAUUCCAGGUGUAGCGGUGAAAUGCGUAGAUAUCUGGGAGAAGGCCAAUGGCGAAGGCAGCUUCCUGGUGAAUGACUGACGCUGAGGAACGAAAGCCAGGGGAUCGAACGGG
rnacentral:rRNA from 1 species